GCGGUACUUCGAAGCAGGUGAAGUAGCGAAAGCCGUUUGAACCGUAACGAAUCUCUGGGGUGCUGCGGAUAGACAGCCCGUGAGCACGCCCUGUCCCGCUAGCGCGCUCCUUCGAAGGCUUUGAGGAGAGUGCGCUAGCGGGGCAGGAAAGCCUAACGGUUGGCUCGUGGCGCCCACCUAUUUCAGAGGUUCACGGCCUAGCUCCCCACGGCCAAGCGGUCCGCU
rnacentral:other from 1 species